GCCAUGCUAGUUGUACGAGUUCAGACUCGUAGCAGAUAGCUCAGUAACACGUGGCCAAACUACCCUAUGGAUCCGGACAACCUCGGGAAACUGAGGCUAAUCCGGAAUACGACUCUCAGCCUGGAAGUGGCGAGAGUCAGAAACGCCCCGGCGCCAUAGGAUGUGGCUGCGGCCGAUUAGGUAGACGGUGGGGUAACGGCCCACCGUGCCCAUGAUCGGUACGGGUUGUGAGAGCAAGAGCCCGGAGACGGUAUCUGAGACAAGAUACCGGGCCCUACGGGGCGCAGCAGGCGCGAAACCUUUACACUGCACGAAAGUGCGAUAAGGGGACUCCAAGCGCGAGGGCAUAUAGUCCUCGCUUUUCACUACCGUAAGGAGGUAGUAGAAUAAGUGCUGGGCAAGACCGGUGCCAGCCGCCGCGGUAAUACCGGCAGCACGAGUGAUGACCGCUCUUAUUGGGCCUAAAGCGUCCGUAGCUGGCCACGCAAGUCUAUCGGGAAAUCCACGCGCUCAACGCGCGGGCGUCCGGUGGAAACUGUGUGGCUUGGGACCGGAAGAUCCAGAGGGUACGUCUGGGGUAGGAGUGAAAUCCCGUAAUCCUGGACGGACCACCGGUGGCGAAAGCGCUCUGGAAAGACGGAUCCGACGGUGAGGGACGAAAGCUCGGGUCACGAACCGGAUUAGAUACCCGGGUAGUCCGAGCUGUAAACGAUGUCUGCUAGGUGUGCCACAGGCUACGAGCCUGUGGUGUGCCGUAGGGAAGCCGUGAAGCAGACCGCCUGGGAAGUACGUCCGCAAGGAUGAAACUUAA
rnacentral:rRNA from 1 species